CAUGUCUCACUGCAUGGACUGACAUUUAUUUCAAAUUUAGAACUAAAACGUUGGUGAUUGGAAGGAGGUGCCCCACUGCCGUUCUUGACUGGCUCACCUGUAGGGAUCUGCCCAGGAGCUGCAAUGCUUGCACAGAUAAAUACAUAGUUUUAGGAUGGCAAUAAAAACAGAAGCUGAAGGACAACUGCUCAC